rnacentral:rRNA from 1 species
AUUGAACGCUGGCGGCAGGCCUAACACAUGCAAGUCGAGCGGAUGAAGGGAGCUUGCUCCUGGAUUCAGCGGCGGACGGGUGAGUAAUGCCUAGGAAUCUGCCUGGUAGUGGGGGAUAACGUCCGGAAACGGGCGCUAAUACCGCAUACGUCCUGAGGGAGAAAGUGGGGGGUCUUUGGACCUCACGCUAUCAGAUGAGCCUAGGUCGGAUUAGCUAGUUGGUGGGGUAAAGGCCUACCAAGGCGACGAUCCGUAACUGGUCUGAGAGGAUGAUCAGUCACACUGGAACUGAGACACGGUCCAGACUCCUACGGGAGGCAGCAGUGGGGAAUAUUGGACAAUGGGCGAAAGCCUGAUCCAGCCAUGCCGCGUGUGUGAAGAAGGUCUUCGGAUUGUAAAGCACUUUAAGUUGGGAGGAAGGGCAGUAAGUUAAUACCUUGCUGUUUUGACGUUACCAACAGAAUAAGCACCGGCUAACUUCGUG